CCCAGUCCUCGUCCAAGUCGAGCUCCAACACUCAUCCCAGACUGCGGAUUGGAAAGUGAUCCACUGCUUGUUGAAAAGUCUUUUUCUAGAGUUUCAACUGCUAUUGAGAUGUUUUGGAUGCAGCAUACAGUGGAGCUGCUAUUCCACCAGCUACUGCCGUACCGAUUCCCACUCCUGUUACUAUCAGAGAUGCUCCGAGAGUGAAGGGAGCCAGAAUGAGUCCCACCACGGAUGUGAUUCCUCCAGCCAGACCGACUACACCUCCUGUGAGACUGCUGACGGUUGUGUUGAAGUGGACCAUCUCCAAUCCUUCUGCCAACUUUCUUAGUACAUCUAGAAUCUUAUAAAGCUCAAUGAUGUUUUUAACACUCUGAAAAACAAUCAAAUGGUAAAAAUUAGGCCUGCAUGAUUAAUCUAACGUGGUUGUCAUGCGAUCUUUCAAUCUAGAAGAGUUCUGAGAUCAGUGGUAUCUCCAUACAAAGACUAGAGGGCGCUUAAAUACAAAUAUGUCCCGCACAACAAAGAUUAUGCACCUCAAAUUGACGAGGAGCUGUGGAACACUGUUUUAGCCAAAAUUAACUAUAGUGCUCGCUUAAAUCUCUUCAGUUUAAAGUUGUUUACAGAAUUCAUUUCACUAAAGCAAAUAAAAUAAAAAAACUUUUAUCAGAA